UACGGAGGGGGCGAGCGUUAUUCGGAAUUAUUGGGCGUAAAGGGCGCGUAGGCGGCUCUUUAAGUCAAAGGUGAAAUCCCUCGGCUCAACUGAGGAACUGCCUUUGAAACUGAGGAGCUUGAGUCCGGGAGGGGGUAGCGGAAUUCCCAGUGUAGCGGUGAAAUGCGUAGAUAUUGGGAGGAACACCAGUGGCGAAGGCGGGUCUCUGGGCCGUAACUGACGCUGAGGAGCGAAAGCAUGGGGAGCGAACAGG
rnacentral:rRNA from 1 species